rnacentral:rRNA from 1 species
GACGAACGCUGGCGGCGUGCUUAACACAUGCAAGUCGAGCGGAAAGGCCACUUCGGUGGUACUCGAGCGGCGAACGGGUGAGUAACACGUGAGUAAUCUGCCCCUGGCUUCGGGAUAGCCACCGGAAACGGUGAUUAAUACCGAAUAUGACAUGGACUCGCAUGGGUUUGUGUGGAAAGUUUUUUCGGCCAGGGAUGUGCUCGCGGCCUAUCAGCUUGAUGGUGAGGUAAUGGCUCACCAUGGCUUCGACGGGUAGCCGGCCUGAGAGGGUGACGGGCCACACUGGGACUGAGACACGGCCCAGACUCCUACGGGAGGCAGCAGUGGGGAAUAUUGGACAAUGGGCGGAAGCCUGAUCCAGCAACGCCGCGUGAGGGAUGACGGCCUUCGGGUUGUAAACCUCUUUCAGUACCGACGAAGCGCAAGUGACGGUAGGUACAGAAGAAGCACCGGCCAACUACGUGCCAGCAGCCGCAGUAAGAC